UUCCCCUUCGGGGGACAAAGUGACAGGUGGUGCAUGGUUGUCGUCAGCUCGUGUCGUGAGAUGUUGGGUUAAGUCCCGCAACGAGCGCAACCCUUAAGCUUAGUUGCCAUCAUUAAGUUGGGCACUCUAAGUUGACUGCCGGUGACAAACCGGAGGAAGGUGGGGAUGACGUCAAAUCAUCAUGCCCCUUAUGAUUUGGGCUACACACGUGCUACAAUGGACAAUACAAAGGGCAGCGAAACCGUGAGGUCAAGCAAAUCCCAUAAAGUUGUUCUCAGUUCGGAUUGUAGUCUGCAACUCGACUACAUGAAGCUGGAAUCGCUAGUAAUCGUAGAUCAGCAUGCUACGGUGAAUACGUUCCCGGGUCUUGUACACACCGCCCGUCACACCACGAGAGUUUGUAACACCCGAAGCCGGUGGAGUAACCUUUUAGGAGCUAGCCGUCGAAGGUGGGACAAAUGAUUGGGGUGAAGUCGUAACAAGGUAGCUGUAUCGGAAGGUGCGGCUGGAUCACCUCCUUU
rnacentral:rRNA from 1 species